ACGGGAGGCAGCAGUGAGGAAUAUUGGUCAAUGGGCGGAAGCCUGAACCAGCCAUGUCGCGUGAAGGAAGAAGGUAUUAUGUAUUGUAAACUUCUUUAGCAGCAGAGAAAUAAGGGAGUCGUGACUCCUGAUGCUAGUAUGCUGAGAAUAAGCAUCGGCUAACUCCGUGCCAGCAGCCGCGGUCAUCCGGAGGAUGCGAGCGUUAUCCGGAUUUAUUGGGUUUAAAGGGUGCGCAGGCGGUCUUUUAAGUCAGUGGUCAAAUCGUGGUGCUAAACGCCAUCCCGCCAUUGAUACUGGGAGACUUGAGUGCGGUGGAGGUAGGCGGAAUUCGUCGUGUAGCGGUGAAAUGCAUAGAUAUGACGAAGAGCACCGAUGGCGUAGGCAGCUUACCAAGCCGUAAAUGACGCUCAUGCACGAAAGUGCGGGGAUCGAACAGGAUUAGAUACCCUGGUA
rnacentral:rRNA from 1 species